UUCAAUGUUUAUUAGAUUUUCACUUAUAUUACGUAUUAAAAAUACAAAUAUGCUACCAUGACAGGCAGAAACAUCAGUAAACAUUCUGUUAGUGUGCUUCAAGUAAUCUCAGAAUAGACAACUAUUUAGUCUAUAUCAAGUAUUCUUACUAUGGUAAAAAUGCAGUCUUUCAAAAAAUAAUGUUAGAGUCUUCUUACGAAAUCCAAAUAUCUGGUUAUGAUUAUAAUAAGUUCACCCACCCCAACAUUUGUCAUGUUUAUAAAGGAAGAAACGAAAAUUUAACAUUAUGUUGAGGCUGUACCAUGAUCUCUUACUGCAGCGAAAAACACAGGAUGAAGUAUCUACCUCAGCACGAGGAGGUGUGCAGAAGUUUAACGGAUAUGCAGAGUUUAUCAGCUUGGGAAAUUACAUUACAUGUCCUAUUCCCAGCAACAAAAAUAACAGUUAUAAUGACAGAAUGAGGAUUGAGAAGUGAUAUAAAAGAUAUAGGAGAAUAGGGCGUAUUCGGAGUGUGCCGUAACGUGAAAAAGGCGCUAUGUUUUCAAAUGUACGAUAUGUCCUAUGAAUCUUAGGUGCAAUGUAGUUCCUACGUCCCACCAAAUGUAAUUGUAGGAUUUAAUGGAGAACAAAUGACAUUGAAGACGAGCACUAUAAGAUUGUUACAGCGUCAAAAUGUUCCGUUGCUUUUUACAACUAUAUUAGCAUGUAAAGUGCAGGACAGUAACAAAAGGCUGAAUAAAAUGCUAGAGAAAUGCCCA